GUCUUUUGAUGUCUGGAGGGGAGUUGCCUUUAACUUCAAGGGACUGUCCUAAUUCUUUUCAACUGGAAUUCCAUGGUUUUUCCCUCCGAUGGCUGGUGGCGGUCAGAGAGCUGCCUGUUCAUAAAAGAAGAAAACUGUCUUCUGGCCAAAAGGUGUUGUAGAGGAGAUUCCAUCCUUGAUUGGUUCAAUAACGAAGCACAUCGGAGGUGAAACACAGACCGGGACUACGGAAGGGACACC